AAGUCGUAACAAGGUUUCCGUAGGUGAACCUGCGGAAGGAUCAUUAAAGAAUGCCCCGUUUUUUGAAAUGGGUUCUGUUCCCAAACCGUGUAUACAUACUUUUGUUGCUUUGGCAGGCCGCCUUCGGGCGUCGGCUCACGCUGACAGCGCCUGCCAGAGGACCCAAACUCGUUUGUUUAGUGAUGUCUGAGUACUAUAUAAUAGUUAAAACUUUCAACAACGGAUCUCUUGGUUCUGGCAUCGAUGAAGAACGCAGCGAAAUGCGAUAAGUAAUGUGAAUUGCAGAAUUCAGUGAAUCAUCGAGUCUUUGAACGCACAUUGCGCCCCCUGGUAUUCCGGGGGGCAUGCCUGUCCGAGCGUCAUUGCUGCCCUCAAGCACGGCUUGUGUGUUGGGCUCCGUCCCCCCGGGGACGGGUCCGAAAGGCAGCGGCGGCACCGAGUCCGGUCCUCGAGCGUAUGGGGCUUUGUCACCCGCUCUGUAGGCCCGGCCGGCGCCAGCCGACAACCGAUCAUCCUUUUUUCAGGUUGACCUCGGAUCAGGUAGGGAUACCCGCUGAACUUAA
rnacentral:rRNA from 1 species